rnacentral:rRNA from 1 species
GCGUGAGCGAAGAGAACCUUUUGGUUGUAAAAAUCUUUUUUCGGGGAAGAAAAAUUUUCGGGUAAUAUCCCCGGUGGAGGACGGUACCCGCAAAAAAAGCGCCGGGGAAAUAUGUGUCCCCACACGCGGUAAUAUAUAGGGGGCGAGAGUUUUUAUGAAAUUUUGGGGGUAAAAAGUGUGCGGGGGGGUUUUUAAGACAGAGGUGAAAAAUCCCGGGUCUCCACCGGAGAAGCGCUUUUGAGUGCGCGGGUAGAGUGUGGCAGAGGGGGGGAGAAUUUUCCGUGUAGCACAGAAAAGUGUAGAGAUGUGGGGGAAAACCGAGGGGGAGAGCGCCCUCCCGGGGGCGUACAGACGCUCUCGCACGAAAGAGUGGGGAGCACACACGAUUAGAUACCCC